UACGAAGGGGGCUAGCGUUGCUCGGAAUUACUGGGCGUAAAGCGCACGUAGGCGGUCUUUUAAGUCGGGGGUGAAAUCCUGGAGCUCAACUCCAGAACUGCCUUCGAUACUGGAAGACUUGAGUCCGGGAGAGGUGAGUGGAACUGCGAGUGUAGAGGUGAAAUUCGUAGAUAUUCGCAAGAACACCAGUGGCGAAGGCGGCUCACUGGCCCGGUACUGGACGCUGAGGUGCGAA
rnacentral:rRNA from 1 species